UAAAAGGCCCUUUUCAGGGCCACAAAAUAAAUCGUUGUUUAACGUAU
rfam:Danaus plexippus plexippus isolate F-2 unplaced genomic scaffold DPSCF300001, whole genome shotgun sequence.